UUUUCCCCAAUCAUUUAAAGGUUUAAAAACCAAUCUUAGUUGAAGAGCCAUACAGAAACAUGUGGCAGGCUAGAUUUGGCGGAUGGGUUAUAGUUUUGGUGACUCCUGUAUUAGUGUAAAAAGAAAAUCAAACUUAAAAUAAUGUGUCCUGAUGAUUCAAGCUACUUAGAAUAGUGUUGUUUUGUUUUAGCAACUGGACAUAAAGUGUUUGCCUCUUCCCUUUUUUUAACAGGCUCUGGAAAUAUGGUGGCAUCUCAUCCCAUUGCUGCCAGCACACCCGAAGGGAGCAAUUAUGGGACAAUAGAUGAAUCAAGCUCCAGUCCCGGAAGGCAGAUGUCCUCCCCCGAUGGUGGGCCACCGG
rnacentral:sRNA from 1 species